CCCAGAUCGUCCCGCCCCGCCCCGCCCCGAACCCUCGAUCGCCGCGGCAGAACACCGGCGAUCUGGAAGUAUUGCACUGCCCCGCUCCACCCCGUGGCCGACGACGGACGGCCGUGCCGCGCAGCUUCUCCGCGCCGCCACCAGCGACGGCCGACAGACAGUGACCUAGAAGUUAGGCUACACUGAAUCUGUGCUAAGUUUAUAAGCACUGAGGGUGUUGAAGACAAAGAUGCUGAAGAACGUCUUGAGCCAGUCAUGGAGGAGGGGGCACAUGUGCUACGGGAAGGGCAUCCAGCUGAAGCACUAUAUGCUUGUUCAAGUCGAUUUCACAGCGGGCAGGAUUACUCUUGGUUGGUUUGUCGGUAGGGGAUCCUUGGUCAGGAGUCAAUGCUCUAUCGUUUAAAAGUGUUGUUUGGCCGGAAUCGGAGAUGAACAUGGGUAGUUGGUAGUAAUAGCAGGAAGAUAUUCCUUACUUAUUUUUUUCUUUCAAAAUGCCUUCUAAACAUAAAUGCUGCCAUGGUAACUUCUUAGAUGGCAGGUCACUUAUCUUGUUUUUUCAUGA